UACGUAGGGUGCGAGCGUUGUCCGGAAUUACUGGGCGUAAAGAGCUCGUAGGUGGUUUGUCGCGUUGUUCGUGAAAAUUCACAGCUCAACUGUGGGCGUGCGGGCGAUACGGGCAGACUGGAGUACUGCAGGGGAGACUGGAAUUCCUGGUGUAGCGGUGGAAUGCGCAGAUAUCAGGAGGAACACCGGUGGCGAAGGCGGGUCUCUGGGCAGUAACUGACGCUGAGGAGCGAAAGCGUGGGGAGCGAACAGG
rnacentral:rRNA from 1 species